ACUCGGCUCCGGCCCGGCCCGCUCAGGCCCGGGGCGUCUGGGCGGGCGCUGGAACCCGGGUGCGGACCGCCGGCAUGGCCUUCACGUUCGCCGCCUUCUGCUACAUGCUCUCCCUGGUCCUGUGCGCCGCGCUCAUCUUCUUCGCCAUCUGGCACAUCAUUGCCUUCGAUGAGCUGAGGACGGAUUUUAAGAGCCCUAUAGACCAGUGCAACCCUGUCCAUGCGAGGGAGCGGCUGAGGAACAUCGAGCG